AACCUCCUUGCACCACGAGAGGCGCCGGUGUCUUCUAGUGGUAGCUACUGCUUCUAAGAAGAGACUGCGGCUUCUGUCUGAUUGUUUUUCCUUUCCUCCUCCAUCCCUUCCACAUCCCACAGCUUAGUAUAGCGGAACUUUCCACCUGAGGACUUCAGAGACCAACUGGAUUGGAAUGGAGAACCAGGAACCCACAGACCCUCCUCAGAACACCAGACAGCACCUCAUUUCAGAGGAGUUGAUUUCAGAAGGAAAAUGGGUCAAAUUUGAAAAAACAACUUACAUGGAUCCUACUGGGAAAACGAGAACUUGGGAAACAGUGAAACUUACAACCAGGAAGGGGAAAUCUGCUGACGCCGUGUCUAUCAUCCCAGUGCUGCAAAGAACUCUUCAUUACGAGUGUAUUGUUCUGGUGAAGCAGUUCCGACCCCCAAUGGGUGGCUACUGCCUGGAGUUUCCAGCAGGGCUCAUCGAUGAUGGUGAGAGCCCAGAAGCAGCCGCUCUCCGGGAGCUAGAGGAAGAAACCGGCUACAAAGGUGAUGUCGCUGAGUGUUCUCCAGCUGUGUGUCUGGAUCCAGGCUUGUCGAACUGUACCACACAUGUUGUCACAGUAACCAUCAAUGGAGAUGAUGCGGAAAAUGUAAGGCCGAAGCCCAAACCAGGGGAUGGAGGUAUGCUAUUCAACUCCCAGUGGCUGGCCCUGUGAUGGCUUAGUGUAGUGGUAACGAUGGCUGCGGACAUUUGGGGCUGUUGGGGUUCACUCCUGAUCUUCAGCUUUGUUUUACUGUAUUCUGUUUGUUUAGAAUUUGUGGAAGUGAUUUGUUUACCAAAGAAUGACCUGUUGACUAGACUUGACGCUUUGGUAGCAGAAGACCAUCUUACAGUGGAUGCCAGGCUCUACGCCUAUGCUCUGGCACUGAAACACGCCAACUCGAAGCCAUUCGAAGUACCCUUCCUCAAAUUUUAAGGCCAAGGAGGACACUGGCCAUGUUUUGUAAAUGAGACCAUAAGGCCUUCACUAUUCAAUGUAUUCAAUUAAGUUUAAUGUAGAUCAGAAAUCAGCUUUUUCAUAAAAUAAAAGCAGCACAGACUGCAUGUGGUAUGGAAUUAUAAUUACAGAGAGGAUGUAACCUUCAUUUAAACUUGUUAAAUGCUCAUGAAAAAAGAACAUAAAUGUAGGUAGGUAUGUUAAAAUUUCUUACCUUCACCUAGUCUAGAAGGUGAGGGUAUUUCUCAGGAAUAGACUUGAGCUCCAAAUUAGGUCAGCUAUUUCCACCCUCAACUCCUAAAAUAAAAAUGAUGUACUUAGGUCUGCAAAUAUUUUGAAACAUGAACCUAAUAACUAAGAAGAUUGGGAUUUUGUUGAGACAGGGUCGCUGGCCUGGCACUUGCUUUGUAGACCAGGCUGCCUUUGAACUCCCAGAGAUCGGCCUGCCUCUGCCUCUCCAAGUGCUGGGAUUAAAGGUGUGCACUACCACACCAGGCCAAAAUAAGUUUUAAAAGAGACUCUGAUAGGGACUUAAUUGGCUUCUCCCAAUUCUAAUUGACUUGCCACAUGGAAUUUUAUUUGGGUAGUAGAUUUAAGAUCAACAGAGAAUAACAUUUGUGGGAAAUAUGUAGAUACUUGUCAUACAUGGCUUGUAAUCCACCUCCUUGGGAAGCUGAGGCAGGAGAUCAUAAAUGUGGCCGGCCUGGGCUGCAUAAUGAAACUAUCUCAAAUAAUUUUUAAAAUGUAUUUAAUAUCCUUAUAAGGCCAUUUACUUCCUAAAAACAUACCAAGACUAAUGCUUCAGUAGUGAAGAUUGUUAAUUCUUAAUAUAUUAAGGCUAAGCUAAGGCUGAAAACUCAGGGCCCUUCCCUCAAGUGUACACAUACUUUAAUUUCCUAUCCUCAGAAAAUUGUUUUCUAAAGCUACAUCCAUAGUCAAAAGAUUGGCAUGGACUCUACUUGUGUAUGAAUGUUAACAGUCAUAGGUAUAGGCAGAUAUAUUAGCCAACUAUCUGAAACAUAAAACAAACGACACUGGAAAUGCAGCAGUGGUUUCGAGUGCAUGCCAUACCUAAAACUUAUCACCCGAGAGUUCUGGGACCAUAUCCUUUUUCUGAGGAGCUCCGCUAGUAUCUGAUUACUGUAGCUUCCAACAGCUCAAGGAUUGUCGUCUUGCAGUUCAGCCACUAGCAGCACUCAGCAUGAUGAUGUUGGCCAGCUCAGUAUGUCUGCAGCUGGAUCCAGGGUCAAGGCGGAGUCAGAACCUUCUAAGAGCAGUUUUCCCAUGUACAGUCCAAUGCUAAGUGUUAUCACCAACAGGUAUUUAUGAACAAAAAUGUAAGGUCUUUAUACAAAUCUUUAUAUUGGACUUCUUAAAUAAGGAUGGAAAUAAUUCUGGAACUUUAUAGACCAAGUCUGCUUUCCUAAUGAAUGUGAAAAAUAAGACCCACCCCUUUACAUCACAGCCUUCCCUGUGAUUCUAACCCUCUUUUAAAAAAAAAAUCUUUUUUAAUCAUGCGCAUUGUAUUUCUCCAGUGAUACUAAUUUUUCCCAUGAGUUCCUCAGGAUCUCUAUUUCUUGGUGUUGCUUCCAUCCUUUGAAAUGAAGACACAGGCUCCACACAUUCACCCUUUCCAUAGAGCAAUUCCAGAGCCAGGUGCAAUGGGAAUGCCUUUGGUAUUAGCCAGGACACAAGAUUUGUCCCAUUCUCCCUGGCCUUUGGGUCUUUCCUCUAGGAGUGCAACUGAGCAGUGACAGCUACCUCCUAGACUUGUCCUUAGUACCAUUUGUAUUACGUAUGCACCUUGGAAGUCCUGCCUUGGAGGUGAAGUCAACUCAAGCGAGCUGGCCAUCUGGGUGUCUGCACUCCUCACACUGUUUAUUGCCUACAUUUUUAAAAAGCUGUCCUUUUUGCAUUCGUUUGUAAAACACACAACGUGGGUUCUAAUACCCCAGGGUGUUUCCCAGUGCCUGACCUUCACUCAUGUCUUGCCUCCAUAUGACUUGUGAUCCAAGCUAAGGCAGUCCUACCUCCCAUUCCUACUAAGGAAAUCAAUGACUGAAACUGUACUUCUGAAAAUAACUUAAAAAUUAAAUUUGGUAAUUUUUUUUGGAAAAUAAAGUAUGCACUCUAAAAGUACUAGAGUAUGUUUUGAGACACUUUGCCUGCCCCUUUCAAAUAUGCCAUGAGUACCCUUCAAUUGCUACUGUCUUUCAGUAAUUUAGAUUUGAAGGAUGGUUACAUUUAACUACUUUAAGCCUAUGUGGAUGGGUUCCAUAUAAAAUACUCUGAGCCUACAGAAAUAAUCUUAGAGAACACUUAAUACCACAUCUCUUUAUUUUUCCAACACAACUGCAACAGUUUAUUAAAUAAACAUUUAUUGUCUACUGUUUA